UAUCACUGUGAUUUGUUUUCCUCCUUAUGAAACUGAUCAAAAGCACUUUUCAUUCAAAAUGUUAUAAAUAAUCUUGUCCACCAGGGCUUCCCCUGGUGGUUCAGACAGUAAAGAAUCCGCCCGCAUUGCGGGAGACCUGGGUUCCAUCCCUGGGUUGGGAAGAUCCGCUGGAGAAGGGAAAGGCCCCAUUGCUCUGACCUGGAGAAUUCCAUCAACUGUAUAGUCCAUGGGGUAGCAAAGAGUCGGACACGAGUGUGCGACUGUCACUUUUAUAUUGUUUUAACACUUUCAUGCAAAAUUAUAUCUGAGAGCAUUUAACAGUUCUUGAAGACGAGCUCUGUCGCCCUGGCGGGCCGCCCUCCUGUCCCACGCGGCGGGGCAGCGCCGGCCUCAACCCAGGAGAGCGUUCGGGGAGCGCGCGGGCGGCUGGCCCCUGCCGCGCGGGCUGGCGGGCGGCGGCGACGGGCGGCUCCGCGGUGUGGGGACCACACACCGCCCGCCCGCGCCCGGCCCCUUGUCCUCGCGCGGCGAAGGUCCCGCGCGGCGGCGCUGGCGGCGGGACACGGUGGGCCCUGCGCGAAUUAUAGGCGUUCCUUCUGAGGCUCCAUGUUAAGCCUCUCCCGGACGCGCCCUCCCGGCUCCCCGUCCCCGAAAGCCGCACCCCGGGGCCCCAAGGAGCCGCGCUACCGGCCCGCACCCCGCGCUCCCGGCCCCGGGCCUCAGGCUGCGGCAUCUCCAGCCCCCAGCCGCCGCCGGGACCGCGCGCCCGCGCCGCGGUCUGGUUCCGGAGCGGGGGCAGCCUCGGAAGGAAUUUUAUUGGAAACAAGGGAGCAAUACAAAAACUGAUUUGAAUAACCAACCUGCUUCAGUGUUGAAAAAAAUUAAUGUGAAGUACUGGAGAAGUGGUGUUGAAUAUAUGCUCCGUCUUUUGUAAGUUAACUAAUUACAUGUUCAAAACUGUUUACAAACAGUUCAGUUGAGGUCAGUUCAGUCGCUCAGUCAUGUCUGACUCUGCGACCCCAUGAAAUUGCAGCACGCCAGGCCUCCCUGUCCAUCAACUGCCAGACUUCACCCAAACUCCUGUCCAUCGACUCGGUGAUGCCAUCUAGCGAUCUCAUCCUCUAUCAUCCCAUUCCUCCUGCCCCCAAUCCCUCCCAGCAUCAGAAUCUUUU
rnacentral:lncRNA from 1 species